ensembl:lncRNA
UCUCCAGACAGCCAGUUCCCCAGUGCCAUUUCCUGUCUGCAUCCUCCUCUUCAUAGGCUGUUGUGAGGAAGAGCAGCGCCUAUGCCUUCUGCUCCGCCUAAGUCCACCUCCUCAGAAACCUCCAGACGCACCUGGUCAGGUUGGUGUGUGUGUGUGGGGGGGGGGGGGGGGGGGGGAGGGGACAGGUACCGCAUUACAACUGCUGCCAUUUUUAACAGAGAGAAUGGACCAAACACAGGACCUAGAGCAAAACCAUGCUCUUGUCACACCCUUCAGAAACUCACCUCGGGGUAGGCUUUUUUUUUUUUUUUUUUUUUUUUCAAAACAGAAUUUAUGUGUCUGGUUUGUGGACAUCACCUUAAUCAGAAAGGCUGACUUUUUUGGCCCUGUCCAUGCCUCUGUCUGCUCCUCACGUGAACAGAAACGGCUGGAAAGCCUGGCUUAUGUGCCACCUUUCUCAGUGAUGUAACAAGCUAUCGGAAAAAUAAGACCACUGAUUAUCUGACACCUACGAGAGUGUGAUUAUGAUGUCACAAUGAAAACAUAAAGGAGUCAUGUCAGCAUCACUGAAGUUCGUCAGUCCCCUUGACAAAGACGAUUUCUCUCGUUAUUUUGUCAAGGGCACGUCAACCAACUGAUCAAGUAUUGGUAAAGAGGGUGAAGUGCAUCCAUUGAAAUAUAGCAAAUGAAUAUUUACUAAGCCAUAGGUUUUCCAACGUUUUGUGGCAAUGUUUUUCUACUAGAAUGUACAUUUUAUGAUGAAAAAAAAAUGUAACAUACAAUACUUCAUAUUUCAGUAGAGCAAGCCUUAAGGGACCAAUAGAGACAGGUUUGCUCUUGCUUUGUAAAAUGUAGGAUAUGAAAAUCAGAUUCAAAGCUCUGUGAAAAGGAAACUGUAAAUGUAGCACCAGGUAGUAGUUUAUAUUUUUGAAAGAUAGACCAUAUUGCCACACAUAUGUGCUAGGAGUUUGAUUUGGGACUAUUAUUCUUUUUUUUUUUGCUAAAUUAACUGUCUGGUUGAAAACAAGAUAGUGUCAGCAUCUGAUUUGCCAUAGAAUUUUGUACACAAUUUGGUUGUAGGGCAGGUUCACCCCCACCUCCACCCCCACACAGUGGAAUGUGAUCCCAUGUUUUAGUCAUAUUUUUCCCCUCUUUUUCCUGAUCUACAACAGCACUUUAGCAUGAGAGUAUUGUUACUUUCUUCGUCAUGACCAGUAAGAUUUCUGAAUGUCAGUAGCGUGACGGCAGUCUUGUCUCACGUCACGCCAUCCAUGUGGUUCGCCUUAUGCGCUUCAGCCCUUAAAAACCCACCACUCCAAAACGAUGCGUCUGUUCCGGUCAGCAAUAAGUGCCCUUCCUGCACACCCUGUGUCUGUGUGGUAAUAUGGUAGCACCCGUGUCUGUGUGGUAACCAUGGUAGCGAGUGAAGCUCGGAUCUGCACUUGUACGAUGUUGGAGUUUUGUCGAAAGCAUUUUGUCGCCCACUGCGGCUUCUGACUCUGUUGGCGCUACGGGGGUGGAGGUGGGGGGGCUCUGUUUGUCCCGGGCGGCACGAUGCACACUAUCGGAUGUACAUAUCCCCAAAUGCAUGAUGGAAGAAUGGCCUUUCACCAGGAUCUUUUUUUUAUUAUUAUUAUUGUGCCAGGGGCGAAGGGGUGGUGUGGGCUUCUGACUUGGUUUGGCCACACCCUUUUCCUAACUCUCUUUAGAGAAAAUGCCAGGCCACUGUCUGGUCACAGUUGAAUUGGUGAAGCAUUAACUAAAUAUCUAUGGAGCGUUUACUUACUUUUUGAAGACAGAUUUGUCUGCGUGCUUGGCCAGUAUUGCCUAGUAUUGCAUUCUUUUGUUCAGUGUUGUUUUUGUUUUGUCCCUGACCAGGGAGCCCCAACCCUGUUGAUUCGGUCUGGGCCUUUAUGCAAUACCAAUGGUUCCUGUUACAUGCUGAGAAAUGUUAUAAAAAAAAUCCUGAAUGAAGUUAUCUUAGACAUUUGUGGAUAGGAAUAAAACUAUUAUCAAUAAUAUUUAAAUGUUUAUGUUUCUGUGUAUCAGUGUGGGAAACACUUGGUCUUGUACAGUUGGGUAACAGAAAUCAUAUGAACAAAACAGUGUAAGCUAUCCUAAUUAUUGCAUAAAAAAGCAUUGUAUAUAGCUGCUAUUUGAAAUGAUGGAAUGAUCGUUUCAUAGAGAUGAAAUUAAAUUAAUGAAGAUGAGAGAAUUCAGAUGUACGUUGUGGAGGGUUCUCUGUAGAGGAGAAUGGCCGUGUCGGAUAGUGUCCGCGGGUGGGGAGCGCUGUGGUCUCACUAUGCCAGAGCCUUCGCCAGGCCAACCCUCAUCUCUUUCCAAUAGCAUUUCUGUCUUAAGAAAAUCACCAGCAGCCUCUUUUACUUUCUUUUCUUUUUUUCUUUUUGCUGUUCGCAAAAACUUCAAAUGGUGGCUCAAGGUAAAAGCAUCACACACAUCCAGGUACUCCUAUUGUCUCUUGCGCUCUGUCAGCGACGUGCAGGUAUUUCUACCGGCCAUCAGGGCGGCGACACACCAGCUAUGACUUAAACCUACAAAUACAACUCAUACCUGUACACCUCUGGUUCCAUGCAAAUGAAUGGGUGCGGAGAGACGGGGGAACAUGUCUCCCUCGCCAUGGCAACAUGCCCAUCUCUCCGCAUUGCUCAUGUUUUCCUCGAUGUCAGACUUACAGCGCCUCUGGCCUUAUCUUCUACUCCAGCCAAGGGGAGAGAUAAGCAUGGAGUGCUCAGUGGACACACACACCAUUUGUGUGUGUGUGUUUUUUGUUUGUUUGUUUUUGUUUGUCAACACGCAGUUCAGGAGAAGAGGUAUGCAAUGUACCCUUUUGUUACCCAGACGCUAAAAUGUCGGCAGUUUCACCACCAGAUAUGCAAUUUGUGACACGAAACACAUUAUGCAGUCUUAUUUUUAUUUCUCCAUCACAACAAUGCACAGGACCUUCACAGUGUCGGGAUGGCAGUUUUUAAAUUAGUCUCUUUGUAUUGAGCAUGAUCCCGGCGAACCAGGGACGCCGAAGCCGCGCCUGACAUAAAAAUAAACACUAGUGAAUGUGCAUAAUGCAAACGGCUUGUCGUCCCAGGAACGACUGCCCCAGAAUAACAGCACAAUUAGCAUAACUCAAGUAAAGGUCAUGCCAAAACCAAAAGGGGGACCUGUUCUUCUUUAUGCAAAACUGUAUGGGCAACAUGCCCUUCGUCCUCGGGGCUGGCAUUUGCUUCAUUGACAACUGCAGCGUAAACAUAUGCAGACUCUGUGCUUAUCAAUUAACACUGUGACAAGAGACUGCCUAGGAAUGCACAGGAGCUUCAGAAAUACCAAAAAGUAAAAAAAAAAAAUUUAAAAAAAUCAAUAGAAUAAAAAACAGCACUUGCAUUUUUGAUUUGGGAAACUUGUGAAAACUGCCAGCUAACCAACAGCACAGGACAUUUUUGUUUGGGUCGCAAAAGGAUGUCAUUACCCAGGGUGCUUUUCUGCUCAGUGGCUGCUCCUGUGACAACAUUGUGUCAAAGGUAGAAGAAAGCUUUAUCAUGUUUUGUUUGGUGCCUAAGUUUGAAUAAAUAAACAUGCAUUUAAUUUUGUUAUUCCACCUAGACUGAUGCACAGCAUGUGGGUUUGAUUUCUAAUGUUUGCAUCACUUGCUUUUUAAGUAAUUUAUUAAAAGCUGAAAAAAAAAUGAUAAUGUAAUUAACUGGUUUUUAAAAAGGUCAUAAUCAAGAGAAAAUAUACCUCCUUUGAAGACCAAUGUUUUUACCUCAGUGUGUAGCCUAGAUCUGAUUUGUUUACUCCAGGUUUGCGAAUUUUAUUUCUAUGAAAUGCUAAAUUGAAGAGAAGAAGGAAAAAAAAAGCGAAUUUUGUUGAUAGCAUUUGUAUUUGUGUUCUGUGUCUGUUCCAGUCUGUUCCUCCUCCUACCAUGACCUGUAGAUAACUUUUAGUUUGUCUAAAUUGUAAGUGCUUUACUGAUGUCAAACCCCUUUGUCCUUUUUAAAGAAAUGCUCUUUCUCUAUGCUAUGUAAAAUGCCUUGUGUACUUUUCUUUAAAAUGAUAUAUAAUGUAUGUAAUGAAAACAGAAUGGACUGAGAAGUGGUUGAACUUGGAAAAGGACUCUUAUCUUAUAGAGCUGGCUUGUCCUCUGGAUCCCUGUACUAUCAGAGGCCGACAUGUUGCAUUUGUAUUGCCCAGUAGCACUAAACUUGAAGUGCCCUGAGCAGGAGCUGUUGAAGCACCUUCACUACGCCCUGUUGCAGUGUGGUUCGUAGCAUAUACUCCCAGAUGCCCCUCACACGAAGGGAUUGGAAAGGUCAUUCUGAGCGUUUGGGCAGGGUGAGGCAAAGGGCACCAGAUAGCUGCAUAUUCAUGGAUGGAUCCAUGCCACACUGGGGUCAGAUCUGUCCCACAGUCCACUGCUAUGUGGGAAGCUGUACCAGAAUUAGUGUCCCUGAAGGUGUUCCACAGCUCCUGUGUAGGGUCCCUCAGUCAAGCAUUACCGAUGUUCUUUGUUUUUGUUUUAUUUUUAAGAUGUAAGAUGAACGAUCAACAUAGGAACCUAGCAGAGUGAAGCUGAUGCUGUUGCACUCUAACCUAGUGGACUAGGAAGUGGUGUGAAUAAAAUCCAUUCAAGUUUUUCAGCAAUGCCCUGUGCCUUAUUGAGUUUGUUUUAUUCAUGUUCAUUCAUUCCAUAUUGACUAUAAAGACGAAGAAAAUGUGUGAGUUUCUCUGUUCCCUAUUGGAAUUUUCCACAGUCGUGACAAGACUGGAAGCUUAUUCAUUAAAGAAUUGAGAGGCACUUAACAUGAAGCCCUGAUUUGUAACACUCUAGUUUUCCCAUUUAUCCUUUGAAUAAUAAAUUAAAAGACGGAAUUGAUGGAUGCCGGUCGUUAAGGCCUACUCGUCUCCAACCCUGAGGUUUUCCUCCCAUCAUCUCAUUGUCAUCACCACACAUAAUGUAGGCUUUUAACUGGCUCCCAAUUAGAAUACAAAUUUAAUCUUUUUAUUGCAUUGACCGUUCUCAUUGACCAAAGUUACUCCGAUAUCUAAUUUACAGUGAAUCGGAUUGUAAAGCAUUUUGGGAAUAGGCCAUAGUUUCAAGGGCUCAUUAAACUAUCUGCGAUCUAUUGCACCGAUCGACAUUUGUGUCACCCCCAAUUACAGGGUAUAUUGCACAAGCCUGGAGUACACGCAACAAAUUUAAACUGACAGGCAAUGUCCCUUUUUUUUCUUUUUCAAUGUCAUGUAGCCCCUGGUCUGUUUCAUGAGGAUAUU